AUGAAUAUUCUAUUUUUGGAACAACCGGGGGGAUGCCGCCGGACAGUUCAUUAGGUAUUGGCCCUAUCAAAAGCCAACAACCCCAAACUAGUAUUUCUUUGUGAGACUAGGCAAGAGAAUAUGAAAAUUGAGAAACGACGAUGGAGACUAGGCCUGAAAGGCUUCCAUGGUGUAAUUAGUGAUGGUAGAAGUGGUGGAUUGGCACUCUUCUAGGAUGAGUCGCUGACAGUAGCUGUUUUUGAAGCAUGCAAUCGGUUCAUUGAUGUUAAUAUUAAGGAUGGGGGCUCCAACAUGUCUUGA
rnacentral:rRNA from 1 species